rnacentral:rRNA from 1 species
GAUGAACGCUGGCGGCGUGCCUAAUACAUGCAAGUCGAGCGAACGGACGAGAAGCUUGCUUUUCUGAUGUUAGCGGCGGACGGGUGAGUAACACGUGGAUAACCUACCUAUAAGACUGGGAUAACUUCGGGAAACCGGAGCUAAUACCGGAUAAUAUUUUGAACCGCAUUGUUCAAAAGUGAAAGACGGUCUUGCUGUCACUUAUAGAUGGAUCCGCGCUGCAUUAGCUAGUUGGUAAGGUAACGGCUUACCAAGGCAACGAUGCAUAGCCGACCUGAGAGGGUGAUAGGCCACACUGGAACUGAGACACGGUCCAGACUCCUACGGGAGGCAGCAGUAGGGAACCUUCCGCAAUGGGCGAAAGCCUGACGGAGCAACGCCGCGUGAGUGAUGAAGGUCUUCGGAUCGUAAAACUCUGUUAUUAGGGAAGAACAUAUGUGUAAGUAACUGUGCACAUCUUGACGGUACCUAAUCAGAAAGCCACGGCUAACUACGUG